rnacentral:rRNA from 1 species
UACAGAGGUCCCAAGCGUUGUUCGGAUUCAUUGGGCGUAAAGGGUGUGUAGGUGGCGCGCUAAGUCGGGUGUGAAAUUUCGGAGCUUAACUCCGAAACUGCAUUCGAUACUGGCGUGCUUGAGGACUGGAGAGGAGACUGGAAUUCAUGGUGUAGCAGUGAAAUGCGUAGAGAUCAUGAGGAAGACCAGUGGCGAAGGCGGGUCUCUGGACAGUUCCUGACGCUGAGGCACGAAAGCCAGGGGAGCAAACGGG